CGUGUCCGGAAGUUACGUAACGCCAUAGGGUAACGUGCCCCUGUCCGUGGGGACAGUUUCCGCCAUUUUUGAAAAUUGGGAGGGUUCCGGAGUAAGUGCAGUUGCCGCCGCGGCGAUGGCAGCCUUCGCUGUGGAACCCCAGGCGCCCACGCUGGGAUCUGAACCAAUGAUGCUGGGUUCACCUACAUCUCCAAAGCCAGGAGUUAAUGCCCAGUUCCUGCCUGGAUUUUUAAUGGGGGAUUUGCCGGCUCCUGUGACUCCACAACCUCGAUCAAUUAGUGGUCCUUCAGUAGGAAUAAUGGAAAUGAGAUCACCUUUACUUGCAGGUGGGUCACCACCACAACCAGUUGUGCCUGCUCAUAAAGAUAAAAGUGGAGCUCCACCAGUUAGAAGUAUAUAUGAUGACAUUUCCAGCCCAGGACUUGGAUCAACACCUUUAACUUCAAGAAGACAGCUGAACAUUUCGGUAAUGCAGAGUCCUGUUGGAGUUACCACAGCUACUCCAGGAACAGGACAGAGUAUGUUUAGUCCAGCAAAUAUUGGUCAGCCACGAAAGACAACAUUGUCUCCUGCCCAGUUGGAUCCUUUUUAUACUCAAGGAGAUUCUCUGACUUCAGAAGAUCACCUCGAUGACACUUGGGUGACUGUGUUUGGAUUUCCUCAAGCAUCUGCUUCCUAUAUAUUAUUACAGUUUGCUCAAUAUGGAAAUAUCUUAAAACAUGUGAUGUCUAACACAGGAAAUUGGAUGCAUAUUCAUUAUCAAUCUAAACUGCAGGCCCGGAAAGCCUUAAGCAAAGAUGGGAGAAUUUUUGGAGAAUCCAUCAUGAUUGGUGUGAAGCCAUGUAUAGACAAAAGCGUUAUGGAAAACAGUGACAGAUACGCCUUGUCAUCCCCAUCUUUAGCCUUUACACCACCAAUCAAAACCUUAGGUACACCAACACAGCCUGGGAGUACUCCCAGAAUUUCUACCAUGAGACCUCUUGCUACAGCAUAUAAAGCUUCUACUAGUGAUUAUCAGGUUAUUUCUGACAGACAGACGCCAAAAAAAGAUGAAAGUCUUGUAUCCAAAGCAAUGGAGUACAUGUUCGGCUGGUAGUAUAAUAAGAACUAAGAAAUCAGCUACUGAAGAGGAGGCUGCUACAUUAAAACAGAGUUAGCAGAGUACUGCCAGUUUUCUUCGCUUUGUGUUUUCUAGCUCAUCUGUAUCUCAAACAUCCAACGGAAAUUAAGUGACAGGCACUUAGAAUACUUCUUCCUCUCUUCUGUUCAUAAUACUGCAGGAUACUUUCAUGUUCUGGUAGUAUGGGAAUGGACCAGAAGCCAGAAAUGCAACUUGACAAAUGUAUGAAGAUCAUCUUUUUGUUAGUGAUUGGUGAACUAAAGUAUUUCUUCAUCUAAAGUCAAAAUGAGUAAGAUUUUAAAGAAGGUUAAGGCUCAGUUAUGUGUGUAACUGCCUUAUUUGAUAUUGCUCUGCUGGUAGAAGAAGCAGAUGGAUAGGCCCAGAAGGAGUCUCAGUGGAGCAAGAAGGGAAGACCAAAGAGCAAGACUUCUAGAGAUCAUCACCAACAAGUGACUGAAAUUCUUUCACCAGGGAAAAUUGGCUGUGAUUGGAGAAGAUGUCAAGUCUAAACUCAGGUCUCUUCGUUCUUCAUCUAUAGUUUAUUUCAACAAAAUACAAUGCCCCUUU